UACGGAGGGUGCGAGCGUUAUCCGGAAUUACUGGGUUUAAAGGGUGCGUAGGCGGCCCUGUAAGUCAGGAGUGAAAGUUUGCGGCUCAACCGUAAAAUUGCUUUUGAUACUGCGGGCUAGAAUUAGGAUGAGGUCAGCGGAAUGUGGCAUGUAGCGGUGAAAUGCAUAGAUAUGCCAUAGAACACCAAUUGCGAAGGCAGCUGGCUAGACCUGGAUUGACGCUGAGGCACGAAAGCGUGGGUAGCGAACAGG
rnacentral:rRNA from 1 species